CUUCUCUUCAGACCGGUGAAGUGAGGUGAAGCUUCCCAUGCUGCAAGUGUGCAAGCAUGUGGCUGUAUGUUCUACAACUUUUCCACGCCAGGUGAAAUGAAUCUUGGUCCUGUCACUCUCCGAUGUUUGUGUAUCAAUUGCUUUGCUCCGAUCCAAAUGCUUGCGCUGGGAGAGAAAAGCAGUGUUGGCACUUCACCAUGUUUGUCUGAUCGAUCAGGGAUUGAGAAAAUUCGAAGGAACUUGUUGAUGAAUGGUGCUUUUGUGCUGAGAGCAAACAAGCCUUGACAUAAAGUGGUUGCAUCUCAUGCUGAAUUUGGUAAUGAUGGAUGCAAGUGCCAUUGAGACCACCUAGGCCUAAUUAACAAUCUGCUAGUAGAGUAGCUAUUUCAGGCUACUGCCCCAGUGCUUUAUCCCCCCAAAUCAUGAUACCUAAUCUCACAAUGUUAUCUUUGUUUAUUUUGUUCAGUCACAUUGGGAAAAAGGUUAUCCUUCUGCUAUAAAUUGAUGGGGGAGAGAAAUAGCAAGGCCAUCUAGGGAUCAUUGGAUGCCUUUCUUGACUCCUUCUGAACA